UUUUUGCCUUUUCUAGGGCCGCUCCCACGGCAUAUGGAAGUUCGCAGGCUAGGGGUCGAAUCAGAGCUGUAACCACUGGCCUACACCAGAGCCACAGCAACGUGGGAUCCGAGCCACACCACAGCUCACGGCAAUGCCAGAUCCUUUACCCGCUGAGCAAGGCCAGGGAUCGAACCUGCAACCUCAUCAUUCCUAGUCGGAUUCGUUAACCACUAUGCCACAACGGGAACUCCCAGCAUCAGCAUUUAGAUUGACAUCAGGCAAGUGCUCAGCGCUUUCCUAAGUCCCACAUAACCUUCCCAUCUUACAGAGGAGCAAACUGAGGCGCAGGACAGCUACACUUUGCCGCAGUGACACAGUGGCCUGUCUCUUAUCUCCUGGGUCCAGGUGCAGCAGCAGCCAUCACACCAGUCCAGCAGGUGCACCAGGUGACAAGGAACUUCCCGGUUCACACUAAGCACCCAGGGUCCUGUGGUUUGGCCAGCCCUGGCAGUAUGGCACGCCAGCCCCUGGGCCCAUGGGGAGGGUGGACAGGCAGGAAAGGCAGCCUCUCAUAGCUCCUGCCCACUGGCCCUCGGCCACCCCUGCACGGCGUCUCCUUGGCCUCCUGCACGCCCCCCCACCAAGUUUCAGCCAGCAGUGUGCUCUCACCCCCAUCCUGGUCCCCCGUGAAAGGUCGUGGGGGGCUGAGGCCAGCCUGACGGGAGCCCGGAGCCCAGACUGGCUUCGGCUUGAAUGUUCAGAGGUGCAGUUGUUACUGCCUCGUGAGGACAGGAAUGGACAUGAAUGGGGGGCCACCUCGGCCCCUCCUGCCACAUACCCUCUUGGAAAAUAGGAAUGAACCAGUCUGAGCUUUACCACGCAUGGGUGUGUGGCGGGGAGGACCUGCUCACCUAAACCUCUCCCGCCCUCACCACCCCGACCCAUGCAAAUCCCUCAGCAGCUGUCACAGCCCGCACUGCAGGGCCAGCUGGGCCAGCUGGGCAACGGGACUGAGCGGUGGGGGCCCGGGCUUCCUCCCAGGGCCCUCCCCACACUGCUGGCUUUGUUUUGCAUGGGGCGGGCAGGGGUGGGUGGUGCUUCAGAGAGGCCAGGAGCAGACUCCAAAGAUGCUUUAUGCCAGGUCUUGUGGGCCUGACAGCAGAAAGCCUGCCCGCCCUGCCGGCCUGCCUUUGCUCUGGAAGUGGAAGUGGCAGGGGUUGCUGGAGGGGUGCUUUUAGCCCUGGUGGUUAGACGUGGGGCCCCUGGGUUGGGCUGCCCAGCUUUAAAUCCUGGCUUAUCACUUCCUAGCUGUGUGAUCUCCAGCAAGUUGCCUGCCCUCUCUGGGCCUCAGCUAUCCCUUCUGUAUCCUGUGGACAGCAAGGGUCGCCGUGUCCCAGGAAGGGGUGAGGAAGUGAAUGAGAAGACGCCUGCAAAGUAUUACCGAGGGUGCCACCUGACCCUGGCCCGGCGCUCAGAAAAUGCCAGCCAACAGCCAACAGCCAUGAUAAUUCAUGGGGGCCAAUCUCGGAGCUUCCCCCUUGCCAGCAUCCAACGGAGGCCUAGUGCACGCUGGAGAGCAGGUGGCGGCGCCCACAGCCCAGAAGGGACCAGGGCGGCUUGAGCGGCGGUCUCCAGCACCCCACUGGGAUAGAUGCGAACUUGAGCCAAUGCCUCUUGGCUGUGUGACCUUGGCAAGUUCUCAACCUCUCUGGGCCUCGGUCCUCACCAAGCAAACAGGGAUAAGUGGGCCCUUCUCAGGAAAUGGCACUGGAAGGACUCAGGAAGAAGGUGUGCUGAGCGCAGGCUCCGUGCCAGGCCCAUGGUGAGCCCAGCACUCUGCUGCUCUCAGCGUCUGCCCUCUCAGGGCGCUGCCUGGGCACUGGUUUUGGGGGCCCAUCAGAGAAGGAGCCUCUUUACCCGACGCUUGCCUCUCGGCACCUACAACCUCAUUCAUCCCGGACUCGCUGGCAGCCACCAGCGGCAGUUUCCAGAAACCAAUGCCCACCUCCCCAGAGAUGAGAGCCGUCCAGGCUCCAAGGACCUGCAACGCUGCCCAACGUGACCACGGAAGGAGGGGAGGCCUGGGCGCUGGCAGAUCGCCAAGCCUGCCUCUGACUUGGGAGGGGACAGCAGCGUUUGUGCUGUCAGCCUCGGGUGACUGUUUGAGUAACUCCUUUUGUCUCCUCCAGGUCAACGUGGGCUUCUCUUUCUUCAGCCUGGAACGCCCUGUCCUGGGCCAUCAGACAGAGGCUUGUCGGGGCGCCUCCGAAACACCACCUCUUUCAGGAAGCCUGCCUGGGUUGACGGUCCCCACCAGCACCAGCACUGCUCCCACAGAAGCGCUGCCCUCAACAUCCCAGGCUGGCGCCAAAAUUAACCUUGAGAUCGGGUCUGACGGUUCCGAGGGAGACGGUCGGGGGGCGGGCGCAUGGACCCCCUGGCGGAAGUAGGAAGGGUGGCCUUGGCAUUCAAGGCUCACAUGAGCCAGACCCCCACCGUUCUCCCCUACUUCCUUCUCCUGAAGCCCCAAGCUCCCCUCAGCAUGUCUCAGGAACUGAUUUUUCAGGCCGGCGCAGGUCGGGCAGGGAUUGGGUCCCCGACAGCAGAGGGGCGCUGGAUUCCAGUCCCCAGCCCCUUAGCCCCCAGCAUGGGUGCCUUGCAUGGAUGCUGACAGUCUGCCUCCCUGCUUCC
rnacentral:lncRNA from 1 species